ensembl:lncRNA
AAAUUUCUACACCAGACUGCAAUUACCAUGGAAACCCUCUGAGAAUCGUGACUGAUAAUAAAGUACAAUUUAUUUCUCCACCAUUCACCCCUUUCCUGGAGGAAAGAUAGAUCUCCCACAACUGCUCUUCCCUCAACUACCCUGCUGCCAGUGGAGCAGUAGAGCGAUUAAACCGAGUGCUUAAGGAAACCAUAUAAAUGGCAAUACAGCAAUGACAGUCAUGGAAAUCAACUGUGAUUGACUUUUUAUCAGACUCACCUGAACCCAGUUGUGUGUCCAUGAGGAGUGACGGGUCAAUGAACCGUCUAAUAUACUUCAGAGACAGAGACAGUACUACUGAUCUGAGGCUGCAAAAGGAUUCAGAUACCACACACAGCAACCUACUGGAGUCUAUAUUUAAGGUUUGUGGGUAUAUUUGUGUGUGUUUUUAAUAUAAAACAUGUUACUUUAGUGGUGCAGUUUGAAACGGUCAGGCAGUGAAGAUGAGAAUUCAGCAAGAGCAGGUCCCAGAGUCUGUAACUAGCUGCUAUGUGUUGCUGAGUAAAUAAAUAAAUACAUGUAUCUCAUCUUCUGCC